rnacentral:rRNA from 1 species
AGAGCGAACGCUGGCGGCAGGCCUAACACAUGCAAGUCGAGCGCCCGUAGCAAUACGGGAGCGGCAGACGGGAUAGUAACACGUGGGAACGCGCCCUUCGGUUCGGAAUAACUCAGGGAAACUUGAGCUAAUACCGAAUACGCCCUUACGGGGAAAGAUUUAUUGCCGAAGGAACGGCCCGCGUCCGAUUAGCUAGUUGGUGAGGUAAUGGCUCACCAAGGCUACGAUCGGUAGCUGGUCUGAGAGGAUGACCAGCAUCACUGGGACUGAGACACGGCCCAGACUCCUACGGGAGGCAGCAGUGGGGAAUAUUGGACAAUGGGCGCAAGCCUGAUCCAGCCAUGCCGCGUGGAUGAUGAAGGCCUUAGGGUUGUAAAGUCCUUUUAACGGGGAGAUAAUGACGGUACCCGUAGAAUAAGCCCCGGCUAACUUCGUGCCAGCAGCCGC